GCCCUUGUAGUUCAAUGGAAAGAAUAGAAGUUUUCUAAACUUUUGAUAGUGGUUCGAUUCCACUCAGGGGUA
rnacentral:tRNA from 1 species